AUCCCAAACAGUCUCUCCCAUUUUCCCAGUUCGUGCAGCAGCACAGCCUCUGAGCCUUCUCUCUCUCUCUCAGUCUUCAAUCACACUCUCAAACUCUCUAUCUCUCAUUCCCAUAGGCGACCUGCAACCCUUCUUAGUUCUCAUUCUCAAUCUCUCACACCUCGCCAUCAAUCUAUCAUCCUGUUCAACUGUAAUUGUUAUUUAUUACUGCAAAAUCCAGUUCAGCUGCAAUUGACCAUCACGCUCUACUAGACCACUACCCUUGAUCGGCUGCGGCAGCAGUUCCAGCACCUAAAGUCGCUGAAGCUAAAAGGGAAGCCAAGGGCGGCGAUGUUCAAUCUGAUUCCGGAAGACUGGAGAGGAUGAUUGUUAGUGAUUCAGACUCGGAGUUGAUGGCUGAAGCGCGCGGGCGCAUGCUCCAGGUGCUUAAGCUCGACAAAUGCUCAGGGUUUUCCACCGAUGGGCUUUUCCACAUCGACCACUCCUGCAGGUAGUAAAGUUCACAACUUUAUGUGAAAUUGUUUUACUUGCGGUGAAUUUUGUUGUGGGUUCAAUCAAAAACGUUUGAUGCAUUCAUUAUUUUGGUAAAAAUUGAAGCACAAAGUUAUAUUGUUUCA